rnacentral:lncRNA from 1 species
UGUAGACUCGGUGCACCUAGAUAGCUCAAUCCAUGGUUUUGACCACUGUCACAGAGGCCAGGCACAUCGAGGCACAGGUUAUGCAACUUUUCUAUCUCCGCCGGGCCCCCGCUGAAUCCGACACUAACUUUUGCUCACAUGAAGGGCGCCUAAUAGUCAGCUGGACCCGCACUACAAUGACUUCCUCUGUCCAGCAUCAGCACUAUGAGUAUGGAGCGGUUCUCUAUGGCCAAAUAUGCGACGGCUGGGAUCUUAUGUGCCAUCAAACGUUGCCUGAUUUGCUCACGGUGCUUCUAUCCCUUUGUCCCAAUAAUGGGAAUUCGUUUGUAGCGAAGGGCUUUCUCGGAACUAUCAUAUCUAGGAGCUGGUCAUUGUUCUGGCGCAGCAGAAGCACCCGCCGCCAUCCAGGUGACAUGCUUUGCUAUCAUUGCCUGGGUGGAGCGAAGAGCUUAUUGGCCGCUACCAGAUUAGCUCAUGUCGGUGCCGAGAAGACUCUCUCCUCCAUUGAGAAGAUAUGGAAUGAAAUGUCUCCGCGGAGUCCGGCAGCAAGCUUCUGGGCCAACUUGGUUGUGGAAAGCCACCAGGUACUGGGAGCUAGUAGGUUGGAGGGGGUUUUGAAGGUCUGGAACAGACUCCGUGAGGUUAUCCCCAGUGAUCCAAUCCAGUUCGAAAUAAUAGACCUUGACUGGGCACGAAAAGUAAUUUUGGAAUUACGAAACCUGGAGAGAGGCAGGACUCAAGAUCAGAGCUUGGAAGUCCAGGCGUCAGUGCUGGCUCUUCUGAGCCGGGGAAGUCCAGUGUAUUACGCAUUUGCACGGAAUUUGGCUGAUAGCUAUGUUCGAAAUGGAGAUAUGAAGUCCGCCCUAACGCUCCGACAGCAGAUAUGGCAAGACCUGCAACCGACAUCACGUAUUUACAUUUCAUGGGCGCGAGAAUUGGCCGGUCUCUACCGCAGAAUUGGCCGUGAGGAGGAAGCGAUACAAUUGAACGAUAGGCAUGAAAGAAAGAAGGGGAGGAAACGUCAAUAUAGCUGUUUGAAAUAGCGUUUCCAAUUGUCUACACUGAGCUUUCGCGGAAAUCGACAAACAGAUUUAUUCAUUAUGCACUUCAAAGUCCUUCUUUUUCCAAUGUCCGAUUCUUGGGAUCAAUUAUUAUGACUUACUUCCUUCGCGUUUCCUUCCGGUUGAUCUCGAUGACGUGAUAGUGCCCAUUCAUGAAUUUUGCCGAAAUUUCGACAAGGGUUAGGUCGCCAGCACAUUGGAUGGUCUGUCGUAGGUAAUCUAGACAAUGACCUGGAUAGCAACUUUCUGUGUUGUACAGAAGCGACAGAGAGCAAUGAUAAUACCGAGGCUUGAGUUAGAAGCAGCGUAUUCAGCAAAUGGAGGAACAC